AAUCUCAACAACGACCUCAAACUGCUUAUUCUUUUAACUCGAACAGAACUAAUAAUCAACGAACAAAUCUGGAGUUGAUAACGAACGACCUCAAACUGGACGAUGAAGAUUGGAUGAACUGGACCACGAACUGGACGACGAACUGGACAACGAACUGGACGAGCUAGAGUUAGCUGGGCUAUGGCUGCUGCUGGUGGUUGACUGGAAGAAAAAUGGUAAGGGCAGCCAUGGUUGACGGGCUGAUGAAAAUGGCUGUGAAGGUGACGGAUCUGGGCAUUUGGACAGUAGAUUUGGAGCUGGUUCGCGGGCAGUCCAUGGGGGUCGUUUGGAGAACAAGAUGGUGGUCGUUUGUGUAGGGCGUGGGGCUGCUGGUUAUGUGAGGAAGACAGGAUGGAGGCUGGUUGUUCAUGGAUUCUAUCUUGACAAGGGUGCUGUUUGGACGACAAGGGUGGUGUGAGGAAGAUGAAAAAAAGGGAGGGGGGUAGGUGCCUAGGUGGGUGGCGGCUGGAGGAGAAUAGUGGUUGAGGUCUUUAGGGUUUUG
rnacentral:lncRNA from 1 species